CAGUCGCCGCGGUAAUACGUAGGUGGCAAGCGUUGUCCGGAGUUAUUGGGCGUAAAGCGCGCGCAGGCGGAUCAGUCAGUCUGUCUUAAAAGUUCGGGGCUUAACCCCGUGAUGGGAUGGAAACUGCUGAUCUAGAGUAUCGGAGAGGAAAGUGGAAUUCCUAGUGUAGCGGUGAAAUGCGUAGAUAUUAGGAAGAACACCAGUGGCGAAGGCGACUUUCCGGACGAAAACUGACGCUGAGGCGCGAAAGCCAGGGGAGCGAACGGGAUUAGAUACCCCAGUAGUCCCUGUCUCUUAUACA
rnacentral:rRNA from 1 species